rnacentral:rRNA from 1 species
GACGAACGCUGGCGGCGUGCUUAACACAUGCAAGUCGAACGGAAAGGCCCUGCUUGCAGGGUCCUCGAGUGGCGAACGGGUGAGUAACACGUGGGUGAUCUGCCCUGCACUUCGGGAUAAGCCUGGGAAACUGGGUCUAAUCCCGGAUAGGAGCCAUUUUUAGUGUGAUGGUUGGAAAGUUUUUUCGGUGUAGGUUGAGCUCGCGGCCUAUCAGCUUGUUGGUGGGGUAAUGGCCUACCAAGGCGGCGACGGGUAGCCGGCCUGAGAGGGUGGACGGCCACAUUGGGACUGAGAUACGGCCCAGACUCCUACGGGAGGCAGCAGUGGGGAAUAUUGCACAAUGGGCGCAAGCCUGAUGCAGCGACGCCGCGUGGGGGAUGACGGCCUUCGGGUUGUAAACGCCUUUCGCUAGGGACGAAGCUUUUUGUGACGGUACCUAGAUAAGAAGCACCGGCUAACUACGUG